GGAGCCAAUGACCGCGAAGCUGCCCGUCUGGCCCAGUGUCUGAUGAUGGAAGUAGAUAUGUAACAGCGUCUGCACGGGGUCAUCUUCACAGCUGCCAAAGAUGUCAUUGGGCCAGAGAGACCUGGAAAUACAAACUCGGAGAUGUAAGCAUGAAGAUGAACUAUAUUUUAAGGCUCAAAUGAAGGUUAAAAUUUAAUGGAGGAAGAGGUUUCAUUUCUGGAUAUGACAGAGCAGCUUGUAUAAAAAGACCCAUCCUUCACGGACAACUAUAGAAGCUAAAUACCAUCAGCCAGGACUUGGGGACUUGAAAGCAUGGAAGUGAACCCCGUCUCUUACUAAAGCGGUAUGUGCCUGUUCCUGUUGCUGGACAGAACAGCUGAACAUAGUAGGAGCCUUGAGUUUGCACACUAUAAGGACAGUGAGGUAUUGAGUGCCAAGAUGCUGGGGAAAAGGAGAGCUCAAGGGCUGAGUCUGACAGCCUCUGUGUACUUUCUCUUGGGGAACUUGCUGUUCUGUUGAUCAUGUGCAAGAGAAGAGGCCAAAAGCAAAGCAGAUACUUCAUCUCAUGGUUGUGAGCUUUAGAAGACUUGAAUAAUUAAAAAACAUUUAAUGAAACUAGCACAGGCUGGGCUGGAAGUCUUUCAUGAGUGUCUUGAGCUGUGUGCAGCACACUGGGAAUGCUACUGUAAGGCUUGUUAAGAUGUGGCCUUAUGCACCUGAGUCACUAGAUAUGGCACUACGUGACUUGUGGCUCUUCCUCAAAGUCAAAAUGAUCAUGAAAGGUAAACUUUUGAAUUGAUUUAGCACAUCAAGGCAGUAAAGACACAAAAACAGAUUUCUACAACUGUUUCAGAAAGUGACGAGCUGUGCAUGGUGGUGCAUGUGUCUAAUUUCAGCACUCAGGAGGUUGAGGCAGGAGGAUCACUGAGUUUGAGACCAGCCUGAACUACACAGCAAGACCCUGUCUCAAAAAAAAAAAAUGUGCAGUGGAAUACAUGUGUUGGAAGAAAGGGGAGAAUAUUCAGAGGGGGAUUACAAUGUAUCUCUUACGGCAAUUUAAAAAAUUUAAAACAUUUUUUAUAAACUUGAGUCAUGUAUAUAUAAUGACGUAUCUUGGGAUGCAACCCAACUCUAAAAAUUUGUUUUAUAUAUGCCUUAUACACAGAGCCUAAAGGUGAUUUUACAUAGCAGUCUUAGACAAUAACUUGCAGGACAUACAUUUUGUGUACACUGAACCACCAGAGACAAAGGGGUCACUCGGCCACCCAUGAGGACAGCCUGUGUUGGUCUGGCAUCAGCAUCAUCCCUUGCGCAUUCAUACACCUGGGUUGGUUUUUUUUUAAACAGGAUCUCACUACACAAGCCAGGCUGACCUUGAACUCCAUGAUGCUUCUGCCUCAGCCUCCUAGAUGCUGGAAUCAGGCAUGUGUCUUUACCCCUGGCUGGCUUUUUGACUACGACCUGUCACAGGUCUGGUGUGGAAUUUUUAAUUUGUGACAUGUUUCAUAUUUUGAAUUUUAGAUGACUGGAUUAAAGAUGCUCAGCCUAUCUGAUAUACAGUAUUUGUCCUUCAGGUUUCCUUGACAGUAUGAAAUGCCUAGGUUUCACACAUAAUUUUUCAUAGGUCUUAACAUGUGACAGACAGCUAAUAACAAAAGAUUUAUCCAUCAUAAAAAAACCCCACCUAAGUACAAUGUGUCUAAAGGGAAGAAGCAUUUUUGUUGUUGUUUUGUUUUCUGCACAGGCCAGAUGAAAAUGUACUGGAUUUACUCUCAGGGGACUGGCUGGUGGUAUUUUUCCAUGACAGACUGGACCUGAAAAGCCUUUUCUUAGCAGGCAGUAUCUGCAAUCCAGGAUGUGUUUCCUUUUCUCUUGCCCAUGUGCACCUACCCGUCACAGGGACAAACUGGGCUUUGUCAAAGGCUGAAGAUUUUCAGACCGCAAUUCUGUAAUGCACUCAAUGAGAAAUAUUGCUUCAUUUCCCCAUUUCCAGUGUUUUGAGCAGCUCCACACAUCAGCGCCUCACAAAGCUUUGAUCUUUCACUGUGUUCCUGGAGGGCAGGUUUCUUAAAGGCAAAAACUGGUUCCCUGGGCAAAGAGGAGAGCACCCAGGACCUACUGUUCUCCACCCCCAGGCCAGGGCUCUCCUGUCCUGUGUGAGCUCAACUCUUCCAGUGUUGAUAAGCAAAGCACUUUCAUCACAGGAGACUCACCUGUUCAGCGGCUUCUCUUUUGGCGUUGUAUGUAUCCAGGUGUUCUUGCAACUCCAAAACACUGAACUUGAGUGUUUCUAGCAAGCCACAUGACAUUAGCUGUCAAAUCAAAUACAUCAAUCCUGGUUACCAUUCCCAAGCCAGUCACGACCCGGCCACUUUCGGGUCUUACAGCAUCUGUUAGUUGGCUUUCAGACACUCUGUUAUUGUACUCUGUCCCAUUCUAAGGGCUGGUUUUCCAGUUCAGAGACUGGGAGGUGUCAGCAAGGACAGGGAUACUUUCAAAAAGUGGCAAAAGCAAGAUUGGCAUGUCAGAGCACUAGACACCCCAAAGACACCAUUUUUGAAGCUUUUAAAACUUUUUUUUUUUUUUUUUGUACCAUGGAUCAAACUCAUGACCUCACACCAUACAGGGCAGGUGUUUAUGCUGCUGAGCUAAAUCGCAGCCCUAAAACCAUUUCUUUAAAUAUAUUGUUAUAUAAUCUAUGUGUACCUGGCAAGUCAGGGGAAACCAGGGUGCCCUGGCUAUUUCUAGGCAUUUACCUAUUCUGACUCAAGAAUCAGGGGAAAGAACGCAUCUCUAGAGCAUGGCUCUUCAGCCUCCCAACCAGGACUUUUGAGCGGGUACAGAGGGGUUGGAAUCGAUCACAGGGCAUCGCAUGUAAUACACUGGAAUGGUAUUUUGUCAGAUAGUUACAAUCAAGUUGAAAAGAACCAUGACACUUUAGAAUUACUUACAAAAAAGUAAUUGAAUGACGCCAUUCCAAUUGUAUAAAAACGUACCGUUUCAGCAUCCACAAAGACUGUUGGGCACUCUGAACACAUCAUCAUCACUUCCAAUGAACUUUUAAAUUUGGUACCAAUGCGCUGCAGACUCUCACCAAGAAAGUUGACUGCCUCGUUAGUUAUUUCUCCAAAUUUUCUUUGAAUUGUCUAGGGGAAAAGGCAUUAAGGAAAAGCUUAAUAUUUCUUAAGAAGGCCCUUUUUCACUAAGUAAAGCAGCAUAACUUACAAUUAGGGCAAAUUAAAAAAAAUUACUGUAGUUACGGAUCCAGGUGUGAUGGUGCCUCCUAUAACCGCAGCACUGAGGGAGGAAGACUAGAAAUUUAAGCUCAACCUGGGCAAUAUAGUGAGGCUCAGUGUCAAAAAGUGGAGGGAUGUAGCUCAGGGUGGAGGCGCUGGUUCAGUCUCUAGUACCAAAAUGUUGAGAAUAGUUACUGAGAGGCAUUUAACAUAUUAAUGCUUAGCACCCAGUGAGUAUUCAGUACAUGAUACUUUUAUUACUACUAGGUUUUUAACCUUAAUAACUGUAGGUAAGGUCUCACAAUGAUAAGCAUGAAUUUAAUGCUCUUUAAUAAACUUUGAGAGCUCUAUAACGAAAACUAUAGUACUCUGAAACAGGAGAUAGACAUCAGAAAAUGGAGUAAGAUCGCCUACUCCUAGUUAUGUAGAACCAGUAUUGUCAAAAUAACCAUAUUUCCAAAAUUGAUACAUAGAUUUAAUGGAAUCCUAAUAAAAAUACCAGUGGCAUUCCUCAUAGAGCUAGAGAGAACAACUGUAAAAGCCAUAUGGAACUAGAAGAGAGCCCAAUAGCAAAACACCACAAUACCAGGCUUAAAUUGUACUACAAAGCUGUUGUGAUAAAAAGGAUAUGGCUUUAGCACAAACAGACAUCGGUCAGUGGAAUAAAACAGGAUUCAGAAACAAUCCCAGGCAUAUGCAGGAGGGAAAGAUGGCCUUUUUAGUAAGUGGUGCUGGGAAAAUUGACCACACACAUGCAGAAGAUUGUAGAUGUAUGUUUCUCCCUAUGUACUACACUACAAUUAAAAUGGAUCAAAGACCUAAAUAUUACAACAAUCUACUGGAAGAUAAAUAGGUUAAACUUCUUGACAUAGGAAGGACUUUCCGAACAGAAUCCCAAUUGCAUAAAAAAUAUCAAGAACCAACAAAUAGGAUUAUAUCAAAUUAAAAAGCUUCUGCACAUCAAAGGAAACAACAGAGUGAAGAGAUGACCUACAGAAUGAGAAGCCAUUUGCCAGCUAUUUCUUAACAGAGAUAACUAAUAUUUAGACUGUAAAGAACUCACAAAAUUUUCCCCUAAGUAAAAGAUCCCAUCAAAAACUGGGCAAUUGAAAUGAACUGAGACUUCUUACAUGUAGCUAAUAAACAGGGGGAAAAGCUCAACAUCUCUGACCAUUAGAGAAACAGAAAAUGACACCAAGAUUAUUUUACUAUCAUCAAUAAUAAAUGCUGGUGAGGCUAUGGGGAAAAAGGAUCCCUUCUGCACUGUUGAUGAGAAUGUAAACUUGGACAAUCACUAUUGAAACCACAAUAGAGAUUCCUCAAAAACUAAAGCUUCUAUUUGACCCAACUAUUUCCUUUCUGGGUGUAUUCCAAAAGAGUUCAAGAUAGCUGUUACUGUAAUACAUGUGUACCUACCUUUAUGGCAGCACAACUCAUGAUGGCUAAAUUGUGGAAGUGACAGUGAAGAAAAUGUAUUUAUACCCCAUGGGAGCACUCCUCUGCCAUAAAGUAAACGUGAAUCAUUUGGCAGGAAAUAGAUGCACCUUGAGACCAUAAUGUAAAGUAAAACCACAAGCCUAACUAUUGCAUGGAUUCUCUUAAAUGAGGAUCCCAAAGCAUAAAUAAAGGACAAGUUAAAAAAUAGAAAAAAAUGCAAGCAGGCAGUCGUGAGUUCGAUCCCUGGUACUGAUAAAAACGAAAAAGUCAAAAAAAAAAAAAAAAAAAAAAAAAAAAGAAAAAAAAGAAAAAAAUGGGAAGAACUGAGAUGGAGCAGAGCGGAAAGGAAUGAAAACAGAAUUAAGAUGUGUCAUGUACACAUACUGACUUCCCGAAACACAGGUAAUUAUGUACUACAGUCAUUAUUAAAAUUUAAAAGAAACUCCAUGAUACCUGCCCAGCAUACUGCAGGUUACUGAUCAGAUGCCGGGUUGAAGUCUUAUUAUGUUGCUUUAGGGGACUUAGCUCUACAGGAAUUGUACUGCAGUACUACCAGGUCACCCCAUAAAUUUAAUACCACUAAUUUAGAAAACGAAAGUGUUAAAACCUAUAGUAAUAUUAAAAUUUGAGGUACAGAUUUUAUCAGAUAAUUACAACAUGAGCUAAGAAAACCUUAAACCCCACUGACCUGAAACAGUCUAGAAAACACAUGAAAAGUAAACACUGCGCAGGACCCAUCCGUGUCGGAUAGCAUCUGACUGACAUGGCAACGCCAGGCUUCCUCUUCAUCAUCAUACGCCACUGGCUGAAAGGCUGCUAUGAUGGCAGAGAGGAAGGGCGAUGGUAGAGGGGAUGUCUGCACUUCCGGAAAACCAUCUUGCUCUUCUUCAUCUUGACUGUUAACACACAGAGCACGGUUAACACACAGAGCUAUCUUAAAGGAACAGAUGCGAGUGCUUUCACACUGACUUUUUAUUGACAUACACAUUCUUUAGAAAAUACCACAACAACCUAAACUGUCUAAGAAGGUAUGAGUAAGUGUUCUUAAUACUUAGCAUCUUUGGAACACAGCUCUUAAUUUCAUGCAAGUACUUUAAUCUAAGUCCUAUACUGUCCCCUGGCUAAGAACUAAUGUCAGUGUUACGAAUCAUACAGAUUAGAAUGCUUUCAUUUUAAAUGGUCGGUUUGGGGCACUUUUAUUUGAACAGCUCCCAUUAAUAUUAAUAGUGAAAAGCUUUCAUCACUUACUACUUUUGUUUUAAAGAUCAGGUUAGGUGCUUUAUAUAGAUCAUUUUAUUUAAUCUUCACAAUAAUUCUGAGAACAUUAGGUUCCGUUGUUAUCCUGAUUUUGCAAAAAAGUUCAGAGAAGUUAAUAAUGUGCCUGGAUUAUUGGGCAGGAAGUAGCCGAGCCAGAAUUUAGCACCCACAAGUACAGGUUUAAAGCUAGUGCUGUUAGCCAGCACGUACUGACACCUUAGCUACUUCGGGAGCACACCACAGUGUGUCUUGUAGUGUGCCAGACAGUAAAACUGACUCAAACGUAAGACUUGGUCAUUUUUUCUGAGAAACUGAUAAUCUUACCAGAUAACAUCUAUGAAAGGAACAAGGAAAAAACACUAAGAUGUGUUUGGGUUGGGUAGUCUAUGGCUUGAGUUUGUAAAGAGAGUAAGUGUGAGGCAUUCCGUGUAUCACUCAGAGUCUGAAAAUCGCAUGGGUCACAUUACAAGAUAGUGCCAUAUGCCUUUGUAGGAAUUAUAGAGCAAAUCAUGUGACAUCGAGGGACCUGAGUAAAGAUGGGAGAAAAAUAUCAAAAUAAAGUAGACCUCUGGAGGCAAACAAUACUUCAAAAAGGGUAGUUUUAAUAUUGUUACUGAGGUGACUGAUUUUAACAAACUGUCCCCCCACCUUCUCGUUUAUGAGGGCUGCUUGAUUCUAUCCCACCUGUAGUGUUUGCUGAAAAAAAAUGUUUGGCUUCAGCCUUUUGGACGGACAAAGAAUAUUUACCUUAAUAUUACGUCUGUUGUCCCUGCAUGUGCGCACGACUGAGUGAUUAUAUGGGCCACUGCUAUAUCCAACUCAGCAGCAUGAAAAAGAUGUCUCUAACAUGUAUUGUCAACAACUGAGCAUGCCUCAUUUAUAGGAAAGCAUGCUAGAUACACUGAGGGUGAGACUCCCCCAUACGUUUUAUGUGUUAAAACUCAUUACAUCAACUACAAAGGCAUAAUAUUUAUUGUAAAACUCUGAAAUACUUCAUUAUUAAAUGUUAAAUUUGUAUAACAAUAAGGAGCUUCAGAAUGCUGAAUGGGAACACAGAACGUACUGAUCGAAUGCAGUAAGUUAGAUACGUUUAGUGCAUUAUUUUGAGCCAUACAUAUUUCUAAAAUUUAAAUAGAAGUUAAGCUGUCAUAAUUCUGAUCAUUACAGAGCUAUUUGGAAUGCAAGUUUCCUAACAGCCACCAAAAUUUCCUGUAAGAACUGUAUGUAAUAGUUGACUGGUCAGCUAAGCCAAAAGUGGAGAUAAAGUCUUACUUGGGAAGUUCUCAUACUUUCUGAAAAUAUAUUUUCAAUAUAUGGAGCAUAAACAUUUAAAAGGAACAACCUAGGUUCAGAUAGUAUUAAGAAACUGUCAUUUCUGUUUAUUGUGGAAAUCAAACCUUUAAAACCUGACACAGAUAAAGGAACAAUAAAAAGAGUUUUGAAUAUGU